AUGAAUUUGGCAGCACCUUUUCCAACAUUGGAAUGAUACAGAGAAGAUUACCAUUGUCCCUGCAUAAGAAUGACAAGAACAAUUGUGAUGUGUUCCAGUUUUGU